CAGGGAUUGCCCUAGUAACGGCGAGUGAAGCGGCAACAGCUCAAAUUUGAAAUCUGGCUCUCGGGCCCGAGUUGUAAUUUGUAGAGGAUGCUUUUGAUGCGGUGCCUUCCGAGUUCCCUGGAACGGGACGCCAUAGAGGGUGAGAGCCCCGUCUGGUUGGAUGCCAAAUCUCUGUAAAGCUCCUUCGACGAGUCGAGUAGUUUGGGAAUGCUGCUCUAAAUGGGAGGUAUAUGUCUUCUAAAGCUAAAUACCGGCCAGAGACCGAUAGCGCACAAGUAGAGUGAUCGAAAGAUGAAAAGCACUUUGAAAAGAGAGUUAAAAAGUACGUGAAAUUGUUGAAAGGGAAGCGUUUUUGACCAGACUUGGGCUUGGUUAAUCAUCUGGGGUUCUCCCCAGUGCACUUUUCCAGCCCAGGCCAGCAUCAGUUUUCGCCGGGGGAUAAAGGCUUCGGGAAUGUGGCUCCCCCCGGGGAGUGUUAUAGCCCGUUGCGUAAUACCCUGGCGGGGACUGAGGUUCGCGCUUCUGCAAGGAUGCUGGCGUAAUGGUCAUUAACGAC
rnacentral:rRNA from 1 species